AUCUGGUUGAUCCUGCCAGUAGUCAUAUGCUUGUCUCAAAGAUUAAGCUAUGCAUGUCUAAGUACAUACUUUUACAUAGUGAAACCGCGAAUGGCGCAUUAAAUCAGUUAUGGUUCCUUAUAUAGAUCGUACAAUCCUACUUGGAUAACUGUGAUAAUUAUAGAGAUAAUACAUGAAGCACGGCUCUGACCUCGCGGAAAGAGCGCGUUUAUUAGAUCAAAACCGGUCGGAUUGGUGAGACUGGAUAACUUUGUGCUGAUCGCACGGCCUCGAGCCGGCGACGUAUCUUUCAAAUAUCUGACCUAUCUACUUUCGAUGGUACGUGAUAUGCCUACCAUGGUUGUAGCUGAUUCCGGAGAGGGAGCAACGAGAAACGGCUACCACAUCCAUGGAAGGCAGCACUCGCGCAAAUUACCCACUCCUGGCACGGGGAGGUAGUGAUGAGAAAAAACAAUACGGGAUUCUUUCGAGGCCCCGUAAUUGGAAUGAGUACACUUUAAACCAUUUAACAAGGAUCUAUUGGAGGGCAAGUCUGGUGUCAGCAGCCGCGGUAAUUCCAGCUCCAAUAGCGUUUAUUAAAGUUGUUGCAGUUAAAAC
rnacentral:rRNA from 1 species